rnacentral:rRNA from 1 species
AACAGGGAUCUCGCAUGGACGAAGUCUGACGGAGCAACGCCGCGUGAGCGAUGAAGGCCUUCGGGUCGUCAAGCUCUGUUGUCAGGGAAGAACAAGUACCGGAGUAACUGCCGGUACCUUGACGGUACCUGACCAGAAAGCCACGGCUAACUACGUGCCAGCAGCCGCGGUAAUACGUAGGUGGCAAGCGUUGUCCGGAAUUAUUGGGCGUAAAGCGCGCGCAGGCGGUUCCUUAAGUCUGAUGUGAAAGCCCCCGGCUCAACCGGGGAGGGUCAUUGGAAACUGGGGAACUUGAGUGCAGAAGAGGAGAGCGGAAUUCCACGUGUAGCGGUGAAAUGCGUAGAGAUGUGGAGGAACACCAGUGGCGAAGGCGGCUCUCUGGUCUGUAACUGACGCUGAGGCGCGAAAGCGUGGGGAGCGAACAGGAUUAGAUACCCUGGUAGUCCACGCCGUAAACGAUGAGUGCUAAGUGUUAGAGGGUUUCCGCCCUUUAGUGCUGCAGCAAACGCAUUAAGCACUCCGCCUGGGGAGUACGGCCGCAAGGCUGAAACUCAAAGGAAUUGACGGGGGCCCGCACAAGCGGUGGAGCAUGUGGUUUAAUUCGAAGCAACGCGAAGAACCUUACCAGGUCUUGACAUCCUCUGACAACCCUAGAGAUAGGGCGUUCCCCUUCGGGGGACAGAGUGACAGGUGGUGCAUGGUUGUCGUCAGCUCGUGUCGUGAGAUGUUGGGUUAAGUCCCGCAACGAGCGCAACCCUUGAUCUUAGUUGCCAGCAUUCAGUUGGGCACUCUAAGUGACUGCCGGUGACAAACCGGAGGAAGGUGGGGAUGACGUCAAUCAUCAUGCCCUUAUGACCUGGGCUACACACGUGCUACAAUGGAUGGAACAAAGGGUCGCGAAGCCGCGAGGUCGAGCCAAUCCCAUAAAUCCAAU